rnacentral:rRNA from 1 species
CCUACGGGAGGCAGCAGUGAGGAAUAUUGGUCACUGGACGAGAGUCUGAACCAGCCAAGUAGCGUGAAGGAUGACUGCCCUAUGGGUUGUAAACUUCUUUUAUAUGGGAAUAAAAUGUUCCACGUGUGGGAUUUUGUAUGUACCAUAUGAAUAAGGAUCGGCUAACUCCGUGCCAGCAGCCGCGGUAAUAUGGAGGAUCCGAGCGUUAUCCGGAUUUAUUGGGUUUAAAGGGAGCGUAGGUGGAGUGUUAAGUCAGUUGUGAAAGUUUGCGGAUCAACCGUAAAAUUGCAGUUGAAACUGGCAGCAUGUAGUACAGUAGAGGUGGGCGGAAUUCGUGGCGUAGCGGUGAUAUGCUUAGAUAUCACGAAGAAAUCCGAUUGCGAAGGCAGCUCACUGGAAUGCAACUGCCACUGAGGUUCGAAAGUGUGGGUAUCAAACAG